GAGGGUAUAGUUCAAGUGGUAGAACGCAUGCCUAUCAUGCAUGAGGUCUGAGUUCAAUCCCCAGUACCUCCU